rnacentral:lncRNA from 1 species
UCCAACUUGCAUAUAUCUUUCAAGAAUACUUGUCCAUAUAUUUGGCCCCCAUCUUUUUCUCAUCACUUCUUUUCUAUCUAAUAUUAUAUCCAUUUGCUAUAGUAUAUCUCUGAACAGUAUUCUUAAAUUCCUUAAGACCCUGAAACUUUAUUCCUAAUUCAAACUUCACAUCCUCACUAUCACACUUUGGAUUGUAGCAAGUGUGCCCUAUCGUUAUCUUACUUCUAGAUUCAAAUUGAUCAUCCUC